rnacentral:rRNA from 1 species
UACGAAGGGGGCUAGCGUUGUUCGGAAUCACUGGGCGUAAAGAGCGUGUAGGCGGCCGCACAGGUCCGUUGUGAAAACUGGAGGCUCAACCUUCAGACGUCGAUGGAAACCGUGCGGCUAGAGUCCGGAAGAGGAGAGUGGAAUUCCUGGUGUAGCGGUGAAAUGCGCAGAUAUCAGGAAGAACACCCGUGGCGAAGGCGGCUCUCUGGGACGGUACUGACGCUGAGACGCGAAAGCGUGGGGAGCGAACAGG